UGGUUUAACAUCAUAUGAAUGAAGCCUAAACAAAUGUUUAAAAUAAUAUAAAACACAAAACAAUGCCACAACAAUAAUACAUAUGUAUGUAUCUUUUAUGCUUUAAUACAUCCUCUCAAUCACUCUCUCCUGUUGUGACGGUUAGGAUUGCAAAUUAAGUGCAUGUGUUUAAAUAUGUCUGCCUGGCCAUUUCCAAAGUAAAUUAUUUACUUUAAAGAAUCUCAAAACAAUCCAAAUUUCACAUGCACAACAAUGGCAAAUAAAUACACAGGACUCAUUUGAACAAUGCAUUCUGAUAAUAGCAAUAACCACGCACCUGCUAUGCAAAUUAUUGCGCAAUCGGUGUUCAGGCAAAAAGUUGACCGAAAAAUGUGGGGUGUUUUUAACGCUUCACUACGAGCAUCAAAGAAGUAAUCCAAAUGAAAAAUUUGCAUAUGUGGGAGGAGAUAUGUCCAAAUAAGCGGUAUCUGACCUUGCCAUGACCGGAAAAGAAAAAAUCAUUGCUCAAAAGUGAAAGUGAAAAAUUCGAAGGCCAAUAUUUUGCAGAAAGAAGGCAGAUUCACUUGAAAUUUAGCUUAUAAUAAAUCAAUUAUUGUGUUUUUUAAUAAAUCCUAACCAUUUGGAUCAUGUAUAUGCACGUGAAAUAAUAUUUAUUUAUUUAUUUCCAACACCACUAUACCUGUGCAGUAGAGUUACUCCCCUUUCCGCGGAAUUAUUACAUUGUUGUUACGGUGAAUGCGGGAGCGAUCUUUUGAGCAGUUUUACGGAUAUCGGUACGAUAAACACAGUAUUUGUUUGGCAGGAAGAGAAAUCGUCUCAUCAGGUAUCGAUGCAGAGAACAUGACUGACAAAGAUCUAUUUGACAGUGAUUAUGAUGGGAUUUCACAAAUACAUGAGCACAGUUACAUUGUGAUAUCGGACUCUGACGAGACACGACCACCUUCACCUUUUGGUUGACAGGAAUAUUCCAGUGAAAGAUCAGUUGUUCAAUAGCCUUUUUUACAAACAAAUUCCUGGUGCUGCCAUUCCUAAUCAAUCGACAUAUCAGAAUUCUGGAUAAGAAUUCAGAUUACUGGCUGCAUAUUCAACCGAAUUUUGGGGUCCUGCGUUGGUGGGGGGUAAUGUGUUUCAGACCAGAAUCCUGCUGGACCAUCCAAUUGCAAGGACAUCUAACAUAGCUGAAAUGUAUCUGUAAUGAAUUAUUAAAAGUUUGGAUAAAAAAAGUGUUCUUUAAUCAUUAUUUUAAACAAAUUAUACACCCAGGUUGACUAUUUUGAAAAAAUGAAAAAUGGCAACUUUUACACAAGGGAUUUUUCAAUGUUUCCACAUUCACUAACAUUACUUUAGACAAUGUAAGAUGGACAAACCAUACAUAUUUGGAAAUGGUUUACUAAUACCUAUCAGAAAAUGUAUAAUUUUACUGGGUUUAUGUCAAUUUUCAAAAUCAGUGGUUAUUGCUACUGAUAAUACAAUAAUACAAACCUUAUAAAUGAACCCACACAAUUCAAUAAACUGUCAGUGUCAUAACCGACAUCUUGUCAUGAGGAAAUCCUGCUGCCAACUGAGUAAGGUGGCAAACUUAAUCCAAAGGCAGAUAACCAACAUUUAACUCAAACCGAUUUAUACAAGAAAGAGACAAAGUUUAAAAACAACCAUAUACCGGGUAAACAAGGGAGACAACAUUAACAGUCCUUUCAAUAUAUUGGGUUAUCAUCAGAUCAAGUUUCCUUGCACAAAAAAACAAUUGAAAAAUAUUUGAAACUGAAAACAAUUACACCUAUUAAUUAUCAUAACCUAUAUAUAUAUAUAUAGAAGAAAUAUUCUACAUAAUAUGUCACUUCUUCACAACUGGACGAUCUAUUAU